GACGAACGCUGGCGGCGUGCUUAACACAUGCAAGUCACGGGGGCCCAGGGGCAACUCUGGGCAACCGGCGAACGGGUGCGUAACACGUGAGCAACCUGCCUAUCUGCGGGGGAUAGCCGGCCCAACGGCCGGGUAAUACCGCAUACGUUCACGAGGGGACAUCCCCUUGUGAGGAAAACUCCGGUGCAGAUAGAGGGGCUCGCGGCCUAUCAGCUAGUUGGUGAGGUAACGGCUCACCAAGGCGACGACGGGUAGCUGGUCUGAGAGGAUGGCCAGCCACAUUGGGACUGCGACACGGCCCAGACUCCUACGGGAGGCAGUAAACCACUGUUGCCCGGGAAGAAUCUCCUGAUUUAUCAGGAUUGACGGUACCGGGUGAGGAAGCACCGGCUAACUCUGUGCCAGCAGCCGCCGU
rnacentral:rRNA from 1 species